ensembl:lncRNA
UUUUUUUUUUUUUUUUUUUUUUUUUUUUUUUUUUUGUCUUUUUGCUAUUUCUUGGGCAGCUCCUGCGGCAUAUGGAGGGUCCCAGGCUGGGGGCUGACUUGGAGCUACAGCUGCCGGCCUCCCCCAGAGCCACUGCAGCGCUGGAUCCUCAGUCCAGUCAGCAGGGCCAGGGAUGGAACCUGUGUCCUCAUGGAUGCCGGUCAGAUACGUUUCUGCUGAGUCACCAUGGGAACUCCAGAUUACUGAUUUUAGUGUUUUUUAGAUAGGAGGAGAUGCAGGAAUUGGGCUCAUAAAGUCUUAUGCGGAAAUUAUCUAAUUCUCUGAAGGCCUGAUCUGCCAGUUUCCCAGGGCGCAGAGUGCCUCGCUCCUGAUCUGCACCCUGAACUGCUCUCAGGGGCGUUGGAGGUGGGCCGCCGGAGCAGCUCACACUUCAGUCCUUGUCGAGGUAGCGGAGCUGCCCUGUUGGAGCUGUCGAUCGCGUGUGGAACCGUCCAUCUGGUCAGCCGCUUCGGGUCACCUAGUCACCGUUAUUUUUGUCAGAGGCCCAGUCCCACAUUUGGUCAGGCCGGCAAAGUACAAAUAGUGCAGCUCAUGGCAUUCAUAGAAUUAGAGGGACAGAAGUAGCUGCCAAAUGGUCGGAGCAGCAGAAUACAGGUCUCUCAACCGUCAGGCUCAUCGCAGCGACACGUGGUGCAUCUAGGAUAAACCUUGGCGCGGCAGUGCCGGAAGGCUCCCACACUACUGUUUACCCACAGCAGCUCUCAGCCUGGCAGACUCCUGUUCGUGCUCGUAGUUCAGCCUGUUGGGCAGGAGAGACUUUGGGUGAGGACUGCCCUCAAGCACUGACGCUGGAGAAACAACAGCACCAUCAGCCGGGUCGUUCCCUGGGUCCUUGCAGAUACGAACCGUCAGUGAAUGAUAUUAAAUCAGAAUUUGCUGUAGCGCUUUCUUGGAGAUCAGUCCUGGGAGAUAAAAGAUUGUCCGUUAAAACAAGACAGUCUUUUUUUUUUUUUUUCCUUCUUCUUUUUAGGGCCACACUGGCGGCAUUCAGAGGUUUGCAGGCUAGGGGUCAAAUCGGAGCCACAGCAGCUCCCCUGUGCCACAGCCACACCAGAUUUGAGCCGCAUCUGUGAUCUAUGUCUAUCUCACAGCAACACCAGAUCCCCAACCCACUGAGCGAGGCCAGGGAUCGAACCCGCAUCUUCAUAGACACUGGUCAGAUUCGUUUCCGCUGCGCCACAGCGGGAACUCCAGUCCAGUCCUGUUUUUCGUCAUGGAUGUCUGAGUCCUCUGGUCGCAAGGGGACUGGAUGAAGUCUGUCGCAUCUGGGAAGGGCUGCAUCCGGUGAGAGCCAGGUCGUUUCAAGGGCGCUUCAUCCAGUCGAAGACUGCUGUGCUGAGAGUCUAGUACGGCCUCCACAGAGGGGGAAACAGACAGUGAGAAGGCGCUUGCUGACUGUGUCUUGUGUGGUCGGACAUGGCAGCGCUGCACAGCCGGUGCAAGGCGCCAUAAGCCCUUUCUCGACAGAAACUCCUUCUGUGGCCUCUUUUUAAAAAUUUUUUUAAAAUUACUCAAAUGAAUUUAUCACCUCUGUAGUUGUAUGAUGAUCAUAACAAUCCGAUUUCAUAGGAUUUCCAUCCCACGGCCCAAGCACAUCCCCCCACCCCCCAAACUGUCUCCUCCGGAGACCAUAAGUUUUUCAAUGUCUGUGAGUCAGCAUCUGUUCUGCAAAGAAGUUCAGUCUGUCCUGUUUUCAGAUUCCACAGGUCAGUGAAAGCAUUGGAUGUUCGUGUCUCACUGUAUGGCUGACUUCACUUAGCAUGGUAAUUUCUAGGUCCAUCUGUGUUGCUAAAAAUGUGGGUAUUUCGUUCCUUUUAAUGGCUGAGUCAUAUUCCAUCGUGUAUAUGGACCACAUCGUCUGGAUCCACUCCUCUGUCGAUGGACAUUAAAAAUAUGGAGCGCUUCACG